rnacentral:rRNA from 1 species
GUGGGGAAUAUUGGACAAUGGGCGCAAGCCUGAUCCAGCCAUGCCGCGUGAGUGAUGAAGGCCCUAGGGUUGUAAAGCUCUUUCACCGGAGAAGAUAAUGACGGUAUCCGGAGAAGAAGCCCCGGCUAACUUCGUGCCAGCAGCCGCGGUAAUACGAAGGGGGCUAGCGUUGUUCGGAAUUACUGGGCGUAAAGCGCACGUAGGCGGAUAUUUAAGUCAGGGGUGAAAUCCCGGAUCACAACUCCGGAACUGCCUUUGAUACUGGGUAUAUCGAGUAUGGAAGAGGUGAGUGGAAUUCCGAGUAUAGAGGUGAAAUGCGUAGAUAUUCGGAGGAACACCAGUGGCGAAGGCGGCUCACUGGUCCAUUACUGACGCUGAGGUGCGAAAGCGUGGGGAGCAAACAGGAUUAGAAACCCUUGUAGUCC